rnacentral:lncRNA from 9 species
UCUAUGUGGUAGAGAAGUUUCUCAUUUUCCUGACUUUGCUUGGAGCCCAGGCUCAGAUACAAACUGGAGGAUAAAAGGAGGCUACUUAAAAUAACACCAGCUAUUUUUAUAAAAGUGAUAAAAUAUCUUGAGCAAGAGAGUGGCUCUUAAAACCAGCCGCUAUGGUCGCUCCUCUUGAUGAAGAAGGUUUAUUCUCAUGACACAUUUCAUAGCUUUAUAAUCUGGGCUAUUAGAAAACAGAAAGCCCAAGGAGCAUUUAUGACAUCUUAUAAGGCUGAGGUUAUUUUAAAACCUCAUGAAACCAUGGACAAAUAUUCUUCAAAAUCUGAAAGUAUGAUUCUGGGAGUCUGGGUGUGGAGAGAAACACUUCUCCGGUAUUAA